AGCAAACGCUGGCGGCAGGCCUAACACAUGCAAGUCGAACGAAGUCUUCGGACUUAGUGGCGGACGGGUGAGUAACACGUGGGAACGUACCUUUUGGUUCGGAACAACUCAGGGAAACUUGAGCUAAUACCGGAUGAGCCCUUAGGGGGAAAGAUUUAUCGCCGAAAGAGCGGCCCGCGUUAGAUUAGCUAGUUGGUGAGGUAAAGGUUCACCAAGGCUACGAUCUAUAGCUGGUCUGAGAGGAUGAUCAGCCACACUGGGACUGAGACACGGCCCAGACUCCUGCGGGAGGCAGCAGUGGGGAAUCUUGCGCAAUGGGCGAAAGCCUGACGCAGCCAUGCCGCGUGAAUGAUGAAGGUCUUAGGAUUGUAAAAUUCUUUUACCAGGGACGAUAAUGACGGUACCUGGAGAAAAAGCCCCGGCUAACUUCGUGCCAGCCGCCGCGGUAAAAC
rnacentral:rRNA from 1 species